CCCACAGGGACGCAGCAGCCCUUCUAGUAUCAAGAAUCUACUGACACGGCUCUGAAAUGACUUUGAUAACAGCAGCAACACAAAAGCCCUCAGCUGCCUCUGGGAACACAGGCAGCGACAGCAUCUCACCAGCACAAUUACAGCGCUCACCUGAGCUUUUCAGAAGCAGGCAAUUUGGAGCAGGUUUCCAGCUGCACUUUCCUUAAAAACUACAACUUCGCAUCAAGGAUCUAGGGGCAUGUUCAUUUGAAAGCCAACAUUUCCGGAGGUGUAUAAUUAUAAGAAAAUAUUAUGAGCAAUUCUCUGGAAGUAAAAACCUGGAGAAGAUGGAUAUCUUUGAGAAAAAUACACGUGAUUUAAAUUGAUCUAUAUUACUAAACAUUACAGAAUUGUACAUUCUAAAACUACACAUUACUAAAAGCAGUUGAAUUUUGUGACAUGUAAAUAAAGUUAUUUUUUAAAGUUUGUCA
rnacentral:lncRNA from 1 species